AAAUUUGAAAUCUGGCACCUUCGGUGUCCGAGUUGUAAUUUGAAGAAGGUAACUUUGGAGUCAGCUCUUGUCUAUGUUCCUUGGAACAGGACGUCACAGAGGGUGAGAAUCCCGUGCGAUGAGAUGUCUGAUUCUAUGUAAAGUGCUUUCGAAGAGUCGAGUUGUUUGGGAAUGCAGCUCUAAGUGGGUGGUAAAUUCCAUCUAAAGCUAAAUAUUGGCGAGAGACCGAUAGCGAACAAGUACAGUGAUGGAAAGAUGAAAAGAACUUUGAAAAGAGAGUGAAAAAGUACGUGAAAUUGUUGAAAGGGAAGGGUUUGAGAUCAGACUUGGUAUUUUGUAUGUCUUGCUUUCGGGUGGGGCCUCUACAGUUUACUGGGCCAGCAUCGGUUUGGACGGUAGGAUAAUGACAUUGGAAUGUGGCACCACUUCGGUGGUGUGUUAUAGACUUUGUUGAUACUGCCUGUCUAGACCGAGGACUGCGUCUUUGACUAGGAUGCUGGCAUAAUGAUCUUAAACCGCC
rnacentral:rRNA from 1 species